rnacentral:rRNA from 1 species
UCUCCUUCAACCCCAAACCCUCUCUUUCUUUUCCUCUCUUUAUUUUCUUUUCUACUAAAGAAAUACGAGGGAGAGAGAAAGAGCCCAGCUGGCUAGCCCAUCUGCAGCUCACUGGACCGGCCCACCUCCUCUUUAACCUAGCACCAGCGAGCCUGACUCCUCUCUCCUCUCGUCUCCCUGCUUGCGCCGCCAAAGACCAGCAUCGCUCGAUCCCAUCUCUUCCUCUGCCCGCUGCCUCCUGCUCGACCCUCCUCUCUCGUUUGUCUCCUUCCUCAUGCCCGACUAGCAGGCCACCAGCGAGGCCCCGCAUCCGCGCCGGCCCUUGCCCUGCCGUCCGCCGGCCCGGCGAGCCGGACCUCUCCGCCGCCCUCGCCGACAACCUGCCCUGCACCAUCUCUGUCUUCCUCGUCCUCGUCUCGCGUCUCCGUCCUCGCCCUGGGUGUCGCAGGGAGCUCAAGCCCCGCCGUCAGUCGCCCGCGACCUCCUCCUCUUGGCUCUGCUCCGGCCUGCCUAGCCCCAUCGCCUCCAGUGCCUCAAGUCCCGCGCCCGAGCCCUCUGCUCGAUCAGGAGCUCUGCCUCCCUUGUUCCGCGCCAAGGUCGAUGCCGUCCGCUUCGUCCUGCUGGUGCUCUUCCCGUUGACCGCAUCGACCUCCCCUGCUCCAUUUGGUGGACCACUAGGCUGCCCUCUCCUUCCCCUGCGCAGGAGCUCGCAGCCACCACCAUGCGCCGCCAUGCCUCCCCUGCAAUUGCUCUCCGGCGAACUCCUGCAGCUCCGCCACGUUCCGGUGCCGCCGGCUGACCUCGUCUUCCUUCUGUCCUGUUGCUGCCUCCAUGCACAUGUGGCGCUCGUUGGACCGAACGCCUCUGGCCCCAAGCCGACAAGUACCCCGGAGCCCACUUCGACGCCAUGUACCUCGACCCCGUUGGCUUCGGUGACCCGCCAAGGCCGGUUACAACUCGUGUACCACUACUAA